rnacentral:rRNA from 1 species
UGGGGAAUUUUGGACCAUGGGGGAAACCCUGAUCCAGCCAUCCCGCGUGUGCGAUGAAGGCCUUCGGGUUGUAAAGCACUUUUGGCAGGAAAGAAACGUCAUGGGUUAAUACCCCGUGAAACUGACGGUACCUGCAGAAUAAGCACCGGCUAACUACGUGCCAGCAGCCGCGGUAAUACGUAGGGUGCAAGCGUUAAUCGGAAUUACUGGGCGUAAAGCGUGCGCAGGCGGUUCGGAAAGAAAGAUGUGAAAUCCCAGAGCUCAACUUUGGAACUGCAUUUUUAACUACCGGGCUAGAGUGUGUCAGAGGGAGGUGGAAUUCCGCGUGUAGCAGUGAAAGGCGUAGAUAUGCGGAGGAACACCGAUGGCGAAGGCAGCCUCCUGGGAUAACACUGACGCUCAUGCACGAAAGCGUGGGGAGCAAACAGG